rnacentral:rRNA from 1 species
UACGGAGGGGGCCAGCGUUGUUCGGAAUCAUUGGGCGUAAAGGGCGCGUAGGCGGCCGAUCAAGUCGGAGGUGAAAUCCCUCGGCUCAACUGAGGAAUUGCCUCCGAUACUGUUCGGCUUGAGUCCCGGAGAGGGUAGUGGAAUUCCGAGUGUAGCGGUAAAAUGCGUAGAGACUCGGAAGAACACCAGUGGCGAAGGCGGCUACCUGGACGGGUACUGACGCUGAGGCGCGAAAGCUAGGGGAGCAAACAGG